rnacentral:rRNA from 1 species
AUUGAACGCUGGCGGCAGGCUUAACACAUGCAAGUCGAGCGAGCGGCGGACGGGUGAGUAAUGUCUGGGAAACUGCCUGAUGGAGGGGGAUAACUACUGGAAACGGUAGCUAAUACCGCAUACCAUCAGAUGUGCCCCGAUGGGAUUAGCUAGUAGGUGGGGUAAUGGCUCACCUAGGCGACGAUCCCUAGCUGGUCUGAGAGGAUGACCAUCCACACGGGAAAGGAGACGCGGUCCAGGCGCCUAAGGGAGGCAGCAGGGGGGUAUAUUGCACAAUGGGCGCAAGCCGGGUGCAGCCAUGCCGCGUGUGUGAGGAAGGCCGUCGGGAUGUAGAGCACUUUCAGCGAGGAGGCGUUCCUCGCAGAAGAAGCACCGGCUAACUCCGUGCCAGCAGCCGCGGUAAUUC